UGUCAGUUGCUGUGCAGCACAAAGCCUGACUGCCCUGAAAAUCUUACGUGAGGACCAGCUGGGUGUUUUAGAGAGAGGUGAGCCAUACCUGGCUCGGGGCACUCACAGCCAGCAGUGGUAUCUUCAUUCACGCCCCAGAGCAGUCAUCAUUUUCAGUUCUGCAGUGAAGAAAGACAAACCAGCUAAGGCAGCUGAUCUGGUAUUGUAGUUUUUAGCGUACUCCAUGUGCCAAAUUGCUCCUACAUAUGUAUAUUUGCCUUCUGCUUGAGCAGACUAGAGUACGUUCACAAGUGACCUCGAUCUUAAUAACAGGUGAUUGCUCAUAGCACAUAAUAUGUGUCAGGUUUUGAUCUGAAGUAUUUUUUUUGCAGGUGCCACAUCUUGGCACUGUGGUGCUAGGGCCGCCCAGCAGUUCUAACAGAUUGCUUGUGUUUGCUGUCAGAAUUUGCACCCACAUUUGAUAUUUUCCAUUGCUAGUUUUUUUUGGUCUUAUUCACACCCUAAUCCUCUUGUCACAAGGGCUUAGUUGCAGAGACAAAUGUCUGACAUAUUAUCAACUGGAAGCUUCCUACCAUGCCAAACCUGCCAGUGCAACAAGGGGGGAGCAUAUUCUGUGGUCAUUGACUGUCCACUAAAAACACCUGCUUGUUCUUCUCUAGAUUUGCAAUUCUCAGUCCUCCUGGCUUCAAUCUCCCUGCUUGUUUGAGUCAUUGUAGAAUAACAAAGUGCUUUGCUGAAUAUUUUUCCAUUACUAUGAAACAAUCCUAAUUUUCUUUACGUGUUAGUAUGGUUGAAGAGACAUUGAUCAAGCUCAACUGAAGUGUUUUGUUCAACUUGUAGCUGAGAGCUACAAUAUAUAAUCGUGUAAUUUAGGAAGGUGUUAAUGGUGGUUUUGCUACAGUGAUUGAAGUGGUCCAGUAGUUUUUUCCAAGCAUCAACUUUAUAGUAAGUUUUCAAGAAAAAAAAUCAGUAUGUCAAUAUUUUAUCCUCAUAUUUUAAAACUACUUGGAAUUAUUUCGAUGUGGCGAGAAACUAGAGCAGCUUUUGAAAGAAUCCCAAUUUCUGCUGCUUGCUCAGAUGAAAAUAAGAGUCCCGUACGAUUCUGUGGCAGUUUGAAUUCAUUCCCACAGCUCAUGGCUUUUUCUCUUAACGUGUUCCUUCGCUGUCAUCAAAGCAUGGGGAGAAGAAAAUCUGAAAACACUUAAGUUCUUAAUAUCGUUGGCUUUGCAAUCUGCAGUGCUACGAUGAGUGCUCUCGAUCCAUAACUAAAAUUGGUAGCACUCAUUGAAAUCAGUAUAAAAUCAUCAAAAUGAUUUAUUGUAAAAUUUGCUAGGCCAGCUCCUGAUUGCUCCUGCUGGUUCUAAGUGCUCCUUACAGACACAAACCCUCUCCCUCUUCUCCCAUCUCUCACAGUGCUCUCCUUCAGUGAGUUGCACAUGGAUGUCAAUGAGUGUUUGAGGUCCUAAGCUUGAAAGCAGAUUUUGCCAUGAAAGUUAGUUUGGGCAGCUAUAUAUAUUUAUAUAUGCUUUAAAAAGAUAUCAAAUGACAGUAUUUUAGGUUAACAGAUAGGAGUUGUUGCAAAUCUGCUUCCUUCCUUUCCAGCAAUGGUCUAGGGAAUUUAUUUUGUUCUGAUGGGCUGAAAUAAGGAGGAAGUUUUUCACCCAGAGGGUGGUGACGCAGUGGAACAGGUUGCCCAAGGAGGCUGUGGAUGCCCCAUCCCUGGAGGCAUUCAAGGCCAGGCUGGAUGUGGCUCUGGGCAGCCUGGUCUGGACAUUGGCGACCCUGCACAUAGCAGGGGGUUGAAACUCAAUGAUCACUGUGGUCCUUUCCAACCCAGGCCAUUCUAUGACUCUAUGAAAACUGAAAAUAAAAUAUUUUUUGCUGGUAUUUUGCAGUAGUAUUUCUUUACUGGAUGUUCCUAGAAAUAUGGUAUUAUUACAGUAAUCAGUCUCGUAAAUCCAAAAAAACUGUGAGUUACUCGGAAGGCAUUAUCAACAUCUUUCAUGCGACACAGCUAUCAGGACUCCUUUUAACAGCCCUUGUGACUAGUACCUAGCAAUUCACAUUUUC
rnacentral:lncRNA from 1 species